rnacentral:lncRNA from 1 species
GGGGUUAGGGUGGAGGAGGACCAUGGUCCCUAACUCCUGUAAGCUAACCCAGGACCAGCUGGCUGAGAGAGUGCUAGCAGAGGACAGGUGAGUGUGUGUGUGUGUGUGUGUGUGUAUACAUGGUUGUGUCCUAGUUACAUGAUGGAAGUGGUGUACUUUCCUCCGACAUAUGCUGUCUGUGUGCUGAGAUGUAUUUUCUGUUAGGAGGUUAAUGUUGGCUUUGUUUGGAAUUGUUUAGAACAUUACUCUUGCUUUUGGUUGAGAUAGAGGCACACGGUAGUGAUAAAGGCAAGAUGUGCAAUUGUUUUGGCAUGGUGGAAUUGCUGCAGCGCUCUCGCGUGUGUGUGUGUGUGUUCCAGUACCAGCCUGUUACCAGUACUAGAGGAGGAGGAGGAGGGCAUACAGGAGUCAGUGGUGCAGGUGCCUACAGUGGAAGUGGACUUGGCAGGGACAGUCAGUCUGGCAG